rnacentral:rRNA from 1 species
AUUGAACGCUGGCGGCAGGCCUAACACAUGCAAGUCGAACGAGUGGCGGACGGGUGAGUAAUGUCUGGGAAACUGCCUGAUGGAGGGGGAUAACUACUGGAAACGGUAGCUAAUACCGCAUACCAUCGGAUGUGCCCAGAUGGGAGUAGCGAGUAGGUGGGGUAAAGGCGCACCUAGGAGACGAUCCCUAGCUGGUCUGCGAGGAUGACCGGCCACACUGGAACUGAGACACGGUCCAGACGCCUACGGGAGGCAGCAGUGGGGAAUGUUGCGCAAUGGGCGCAAGCCUGAUGCAGCCAUGCCGCGUGUGUGAAGAAGGCCUUCGGGUUGUAAAGCACUUUCAGCGGGGAGGCGUUACCCGCAGAAGAAGCACCGGCUAACUCCGUGCCAGCAGCCGCGGUAAUUC